rnacentral:rRNA from 1 species
AUGCGGCAGUCUACACAUGCAAGUCGAGCGGUAACAGGGGUAGCUUGCUACCCGCUGACGAGCGGCGGACGGGUGAGUAAUGCAUAGGAAUCUGCCCGAUAGUGGGGGAUAACCUGGGGAAACCCAGGCUAAUACCGCAUACGUCCUACGGGAGAAAGGGGGCUCCGGCUCCCGCUAUUGGAUGAGCCUAUGUCGGAUUAGCUAGUUGGUGAGGUAAUGGCUCACCAAGGCAACGAUCCGUAGCUGGUCUGAGAGGAUGAUCAGCCACAUCGGGACUGAGACACGGCCCGAACUCCUACGGGAGGCAGCAGUGGGGAAUAUUGGACAAUGGGCGAAAGCCUGAUCCAGCCAUGCCGCGUGUGUGAAGAAGGCCUUCGGGUUGUAAAGCACUUUCAGCGAGGAAGAACGCCUAGUGGUUAAUACCCAUUAGGAAAGACAUCACUCGCAGAAGAAGCACCGGCUAACUCCGUGCCAGCAGCCGCGGAAUUACGGAGGGUGCAAGCGUUAAUCGGAAUUACUGGGCGUAAAGCGCGCGUAGGUGGCUUGAUAAGCCGGUUGUGAAAGCCCCGGGCUCAACCUGGGAACGGCAUCCGGAACUGU